UACGUAGGGGGCAAGCGUUGUCCGGAAUCAUUGGGCGUAAAGUGCGUGUAGGCGGUCCGGUAAGUCCGCUGUGAAAGUCCAGGGCUCAACCCUGGAAUGCCAGUGGAAACUGUCGAGCUAGAGUCCGGAAGAGGCGAGUGGAAUUCCUGGUGUAGCGGUGAAAUGCGCAGAUAUCAGGAGGAACACCAAUGGCGAAGGCAGCUCGCUGGGACGGUACUGACGCUGAGACGCGAAAGCGUGGGGAGCAAACAGG
rnacentral:rRNA from 1 species